rnacentral:rRNA from 1 species
AUUGAACGCUGGCGGCAUGCCUUACACAUGCAAGUCGAACGGCAGCACGGGAGCAAUCCUGGUGACGAGUGGCGAACGGGUGAGUAAAGCAUCGGAACGUGCGCAGUAGUGGGGGAUAACGUAGCGAAAGCUACGCUAACACCGCAGACGAACUGUGGAUGAAAGCGGGGGACCGUAAGGCCUCGCGCGCUUGGAGCGUCCGAUUUCAGAUUAGGUAGUUGGGGAGGUAAAGGCUCACCAAGCCGACGAUCUGUAGCUGGUCUGGGAGGACGGCCAGCAACACGGGGACUGAGAAACGUCCCAGACUCCUACGGGAGGAAGAAGUGGGAAAUUUUGGACAAGGGGCGCAAGCCUGAUCCAGCAAUGCCGCGGGCAGGAUGAAGGCCUUCGGGUUGUAAACUGCUUUUGUACGGAGCGAAACGGCUUCCACUAAUACUGGGGGCUAAUGACGGUACCGUAAGAAUAAGCACCGGCUAACUACGUGCCAGCAGCCGCCGUAAGAC